rnacentral:rRNA from 1 species
UCAUUCUAGAUACACUUUCCAGUACAUCUACUAUGUUACGACUUAUCUUACCUUAAUAAUAAGAGCGACGGGCGAUGUGUACAUAUUUUAGAGCUAAAAUCAAAUUAUUAAUCUUUAUAAUUUUACAACCAAAUCCACCUUCAAAAAUUUUUUCAUAAUUUUAUCCGUUUAAAUAAAUUUAUUGUAACCCAUUAUUACUUAAAUAUAAGCUACACCUUGAUCUGAUAUAAAUUCUCUUUAAAAUUAUUGAAUAUUAUUAUUCUUAUAAAAUAUUCUGAUAACGACGGUAUAUAAACUGAUUACAAAUUUAAGUAAGGUCCAUCGUGGAUUAUCGAUUACAAAACAGGUUCCUCUGGAUAGACUAAAAUACCGCCAAAUUUUUUAAGUUUCAAGAACAUAAC